rnacentral:pre_miRNA from 1 species
AAAGUACUCCGUUCCAAAUUACUCGUCGUAGAAAUAGAUGUAUCUAGAACUAAAAUACAUCUAGAUACAUCCAUUUCUGCGACGAGUAAUUCGGAACGGAUGGAGUAGUUA